UCUUCCAGUACCUGCCAUACGUGAUACGGCAAGAGAGUGGGAUAGGGAUGAUGGGUACCGCAGUUCUCACUCACGCUCCCAAUCACAUAUUAAUAGCAGUAA
rnacentral:ribozyme from 1 species